rnacentral:rRNA from 1 species
GAUGAACGCUGGCGGCGUGCCUAAUACAUGCAAGUCGAGCGAACAGACGAGGAGCUUGCUCCUCUGACGUUAGCGGCGGACGGGUGAGUAACACGUGGAUAACCUACCUAUAAGACUGGGAUAACUUCGGGAAACCGGAGCUAAUACCGGAUAAUAUAUUGAACCGCAUGGUUCAAUAGUGAAAGACGGUUUUGCUGUCACUUAUAGAUGGAUCCGCGCCGCAUUAGCUAGUUGGUAAGGUAACGGCUUACCAAGGCAACGAUGCGUAGCCGACCUGAGAGGGGGGGCGGCCACACUGGGACUGGAGCACGGGCCAAGACCCCAGGGGGGGGGACAAGGAGGGAUCUUCCGGAAGGGGGGGAAGGCUUGCGGGGCAAACGCGGGGGGGUGGAGAAAGGUUUUGGAAUCGUAAAACUUUUUUUUUAGGAAAAAAAAAAGGGUAAAGAAACUAUGCCGUCUUGGAGGGACCUAAUAAAAAAAGCCCGGCUAAACUCGGG